CAGCAGUAGCCACGGUAAAACGGAGGAUCCAAGCGUUAUCCGGAAUCAUUGGGUUUAAAGGGUCCGUAGGCGGUUUAGUAAGUCAGUGGUGAAAGCCCAUCGCUCAACGGUGGAACGGCCAUUGAUACUGCUGAACUUGAAUUAUUAGGAAGUAACUAGAAUAUGUAGUGUUGCGGUGAAAUGCUUAGAGAUUACAUGGAAUACCAAUUGCGAAGGCAGGUUACUACUAAUUGAUUGACGCUGAUGGACGAAAGCGUGGGGAGCGAACAGGAUUAGAUACCCCCGUAGUCCCUGUCUCUUAUAC
rnacentral:rRNA from 1 species